rnacentral:rRNA from 1 species
GAUGAACGCUGGCGGCGUGCCUAAUACAUGCAAGUCGAGCGAACAGACGAGGAGCUUGCUCCCCUGACGUUAGCGGCGGACGGGUGAGUAACACGUGGAUAACCUACCUAUAAGACUGGGAUAACUUCGGGAAACCGGAGCUAAUACCGGAUAAUAUAUUGAACCGCAUGGUUCAAUAGUGAAAUACGGUUUUGCUGUCACUUAUAGAUGGAUCCGCGCCGCAUUAGCUAGUUGGUAAGGUAACGGCUUACCAAGGCGACGAUGCGUAGCCGACCUGAGAGGGUGAUCGGCCACACUGGAACUGAGACACGGUCCAGACUCCUACGGGAGGCAGCAGUAGGGAAUCUUCCGCAAUGGGCGAAAGCCUGACGGAGCAACGCCGCGUGAGUGAUGAAGGUCUUCGGAUCGUAAAACUCUGUUAUUAGGGAAGAACAAAUGUGUAAGUAACUAUGCACGUCUUGACGGUACCUAAUCAGAAAGCCACGGCUAACUACGUG